rnacentral:rRNA from 1 species
GACAGAGGGUGCAAACGUUGUUCGGAAUUACUGGGCGUAAAGCGCGUGCAGGCGGCUCUGCAAGUCGGAUGUGAAAUCCCACGGCUCAACCAUGGAAGUGCAUUCGAAACUGCAGGGCUAGAGUUCUGGAGAGGAAGGUGGAAUGCUUGGUGUAGAGGUGAAAUUCGUAGAUAUCAAGCGGAACACCGGUGGCGAAGGCGGCCUUCUGGACAGUAACUGACGCUGAGACGCGAAAGCCAGGGGAGCGAACGGG